CUUCAACGAGCCGAGCCACAGCGGCUGUUGGGGAUCGCGAUCCUUGCCGUAGGUCGCGAGCAGCGCCUGCGCCUC
rfam:Streptomyces cellostaticus strain DSM 40189 genomic scaffold PRJNA299219_s051, whole genome shotgun sequence.